rnacentral:rRNA from 1 species
AUCCAGACUCCUACGGGAGGCAGCAGUGGGGAAUAUUGCACAAUGGGGGAAACCCUGAUGCAGCAACGCCGCGUGAGUGAAGAAGUAUUUCGGUAUGUAAAGCUCUAUCAGCAGGGAAGAAAAUGACAGUACCUGACUAAGAAGCCCCGGCUAACUACGUGCCAGCAGCCGCGGUAAUACGUAGGGGGCAAGCGUUAUCCGGAUUUACUGGGUGUAAAGGGAGCGUAGACGGCCAUGCAAGCCAGGGGUGAAAGCCCGGGGCCCAACCCCGGGACUGCCCUUGGAACUGCAUGGCUGGAGUGCGGGAGGGGCAGGCGGAAUUCCUGGUGUAGCGGUGAAAUGCGUAGAUAUCAGGAGGAACACCGGCGGCGAAGGCGGCCUGCUGGACUGCGACUGACGUUGAGGCUCGAAAGCGUGGGGAGCAAACAGGAUUAGAUACCCGUGUA